GCCAACGUAGCUCAGAGGUAGAGCAGCUGUUUCGUAAACAGCAGGUCACAGGUUCAAUUCCUGUCGUUGGCUCCA
rnacentral:tRNA from 1 species